rnacentral:rRNA from 1 species
CACGUAGGCACCAAGCGUUGUCCGGAUUUAUUGGGCGUAAAGAGCGUGUAGGCGGCCAGACAGGUCCGUUGUGAAAACUCGAGGCUCAACCUCGAGACGCCGAUGGAAACCGUAUGGCUAGAGUCCGGAAGAGGAGAGUGGAAUUCCCGGUGUAGCGGUGAAAUGCGCAGAUAUCAGGAGGAACACCGGUGGCGAAGGCGGGUCUCUGGGCCGACAUUGACGCUGAGGAGCGAAAGCGUGGGGAGCGAACAGG